GAAAUGGUUUCUUUACUUUUCUCUUGACAGUCAGUUCAUAUUCACCAACUCAUUUUACGUUGCAGUGGUUACAUGGCACCAGAAUACCUGCUACGAGGUGUAAUAACACCUAUGGCAGACAUAUUCGGUUUGGGUGUCAUAAUCAUGGAGGUAAUUACGGGGCAUAGGGAGUACCCGUACCCACAUGAUAUCAGAAGGUCUUCCAAGGACUUCAUCAAGCGAGAAGUUCAAAUAUGGAGAAAUAGGUUGGAAAAAGAUCCAGGAUAUACAUCUCUGGAAGCAGACUGCCAACAAAUAAAAACCUGCAUUCAGAUUGGUCUAAUUUGCGUAAAUUCUGAGCGGACAAAAAGGCCUACGGUGAAGAAAAUUAUUGAUAUGCUUCAAGGGUUGGAAAGUAUGGAUUGGUACAUUAUUAACGAGCUAUCAAUGCACGACAUUCAGGAUGAGCUGUAGAUUAGCAAAGGAGAUUGUCACAACAAUAUCUGAUUCUUCUAUCUUCCUGGGCUUUGAACCUCCGUACAUAGUUGCUCCUUGUGAGUGGCGUUUAUGUUCAACUCGACCUGACUAGACAAGCAUUUAACUUGUUUGGUCUCCAGUCUUAGUUCUAGCUGUAUAUGUCACUUAUCUGAAAGUGUGUUCGCUCUGAAGAUAAAUAUGCAGUGCCAUGGACAUGGUUUCAGCAGAAGGACGUGGGAUAUGCAGGCCUUUGUGAGUUACUUUUUUAUGGACCUCCUAAAGAACCUCUUUAUUCAAUA